rnacentral:misc_RNA from 1 species
AACAAAGAGCUGCGUCAACAUUCAACCUCAUCAUCCAGAGUAAAUUACGCAGAUUUGACAGAAUUAACAUGACCACAGCUACUUUAUCACCACAAAGGUGUACUAAAAUCUGAAAAUUUAAGCAUUUGAUAGCAAUAGGAUGUGUCAAAAUCCACUUCGGGAAAACAGAGUAUUAAUUAAACAAAACACAAGGAACAGGUUCAAACACUAAAACAAUAUAGAGAUCUCAUCUAAAGCCAAAAUGCUCAUUCAUCCUCCUGGCUGUGCAACCUAGCAAGCUUGUUUGUUAUGACAACAUCAAGUUGGGCAGCUCGCUCGACAAUCUCUUUCCUCUUCCUAGUGGAAACAUUGUGUGCGAUUUCUGCACAGUAAGUUCUGUUGUGCAUCAUUAGGAUCUCAAGCUCGCUAGCAUUAUGCACGACGAACUUCUUGAAGCCAUUGGGAAGAUAGUGGCGAGUCUUCUUGUCUGACCCGUAUCCAAUAUUGGGCAUCAAGACACAUCCCUUGAACUUUCUCCUCACUCUAGAAUCAAUACCCUUGGGUCUGCGCCAGCUUUCCUUGACAGUGAUUCUUCGGUCACUCUGAGGUCUAAUGAACCUCUUCACUCUCUUCUUCACGACCUUCUUGUUAAGCAGAGGCACGGCCAUUGUUGUUGUUCUACCUUGUCUUACCUUUCGAACUAGGGUUUCUGCUGAGCCGCUAACUCCUUG